CUCCUUCCUCUCUCUCCAAGCCAAAUCGGCGGCGCUUCACUCUCCUUCUCCAGCGAACUGAUUGCCUUUUCCGUUCUAAUUCAUCUCCUUCUGCUUCGAUUCCGGUCCGAUGCAUCUCCUCUGAUGGUCUUCUCCCCCGUUCAUCUUCUUCGUUCGCGUUUGAAUUUGUGGUGUUCGAUUUUGUACGUUUGAUGAUGAAUGUUGGGUUAAAACAACUCUGAAUCGGCAAAGCUAGGUGAGAUCUUUCCGAAUUUAUGUUAUUUUCUCUUUAAUCUCUCUUCUUCUCUCUCAAACUUUCAGAAGGGUUUGUGAAAUUGAAAAUGAUGAAUAGCUUUUGGGUUUCUUGAUGUUUGUGAUUUCACUGUGUUUGAUGUUUGUGGUUCUUUAACGUGAACAAUGGUCUUUCGUUCUCUUUUCUUCGCAUUUUGGAGGAUUUGUAUUUUGAAGAUAAUGAUUUUGUUCAACCAUAGUUUAAAUUGAAUGGAGCUCUAACCAUCUUCUUUGGCUUUUAGGAGAUUCAUCCAAUCUGCACAAUCUUCUUACAAGUGCACUAAAACGUGAACUCAAGAACAAGCAAAAAGAAGAGAUUUGAAGAAAAUGGAAGAGGAGAAAUCCAAAAAGAUACUAUUGGUGAAUCUAAUCCUUCUCCUUCUAAAAACAGGUUUUUGUCUCAUAAACACUCCUAUUUAACCUAAAAUAUUAGUCAAAGUUGCAGCACAUUUCACAAUAUCACACGAUGAGCAUCGGAAGGAAGUGGAAGGAUAUCAUUGAUGUUAGCGACAAGAUGUGGUGAAUCUCAUUCGUGAUUCUCUCACGGUCUCAUUCGUGUUCAUGAACUUUUCGUGCUAGAUGCUAAACUGAAUGAAUUAUGAACAUCAAACAAUUUGAACGAGAUCGAGCCUCUGCAGCAAGCACUGGAAAGAUGCGUAAUAAUCACAGUGGUAUAUGCUCAUCUGAGGAGGAACUCAAUGAUGUUGAAUGUCAUCAGUAGGUUGGCUCUCAUGGUGAAGGUGGAAUUCUUAGGAACAGUGAAGGUGGGAGGUUUAUGGAAAUAUAUGCUCCUAUCGCAUCAAAAGAUGUAGCUUCAAGAUCAAUGAUUAUGGAGAUUCGGGAAGGUUGUGGUGUAGGUGUCCCUGCUAAUGCGAUGGAUUACACGUCUGGCACGCCCUACAGUUCCUUAGACGAUUAUCUGUGUCAUAUUUCAAGCAAUCCAUACAUGAUCAGCUACCGAAUUUAACGUGCAGCAACACUUCCUUCUGCAUUGUAUCACCGACGAAUCACUACUUGCAAAUCAAAGCCUCACGUUCACCUGCGAUUAGAAACAGCGGCGAGAAGUUCAAAGCAACGCGAAUCCACAACAAAAUUUGAAGCUUCACGACUCAACAUCAUCAUCAACGCAAAAACAACAGCCUCAAGCAUCACUGCUCGGUACAGUUCCUUUACUCUCAAUCAAUGCAUUGUUGUUUAUUAUUUUCCACAAUUUUAUGAGUAUUUUGUUAGAUUUGUUGUUGCCUUUUCGUUUUGCUUGAUGAGAAGAAAUGGAAUAGA